UACGUAGGGGGCAAGCGUUGUCCGGAUUCAUUGGGCGUAAAGAGCGUGUAGGCGGCCAGGUAGGUCGGUUGUGAAAACUGGAGGCUCAACCUUCAGAGGUCGACCGAAACCAUCUGGCUAGAGUCCGGGAGAGGAGAGUGGAAUUCCUGGUGUAGCGGUGAAAUGCGCAGAUAUCAGGAAGAACACCCGUGGCGAAAGCGGUUCUCUGGAACGGUACUGACGCUGAGACGCGAAAGCGUUGGGAGCGAACAGG
rnacentral:rRNA from 1 species